rnacentral:rRNA from 1 species
UACGGGGGGGGCAAGCGUUGUUCGGAAUUACUGGGCGUAAAGGGCGCGUAGGCGGCCUGCUAAGUCGAACGUGAAAUCCCUGGGCUCAACCCAGGAACUGCGUCCGAUACUGGUUGGCUUGAAUCCGGGAGAGGGAUGUGGAAUUCCAGGUGUAGCGGUGAAAUGCGUAGAUAUCUGGAGGAACACCGGUGGCGAAGGCGACAUCCUGGACCGGUAUUGACGCUGAGGCACGAAAGCUAGGGGAGCAAACAGG